GUAGGUCCCGAGCGUUAUCCGGAUUUAUUGGGCGUAAAGCGAGCGCAGGCGGUUAGAUAAGUCUGAAGUUAAAGGCUGUGGCUUAACCAUAGUACGCUUUGGAAACUGUUUAACUUGAGUGCAGAAGGGGAGAGUGGAAUUCCAUGUGUAGCGGUGAAAUGCGUAGAUAUAUGGAGGAACACCGGUGGCGAAAGCGGCUCUCUGGUCUGUAACUGACGCUGAGGCUCGAAAGCGUGGGGAGCAAACAGGAUUAGAUACCCUGGUAGUCCACGCCGUAAACGAUGAGUGCUAGGUGUUGGGUCCUUUCCGGGACUCAGUGCCGCAGCUAACGCAUUAAGCACUCCGCCUGGGGAGU
rnacentral:rRNA from 1 species